GCCGCCAUGGCGGAACUGGUAGACGCGCGGGACUUAAAAUCCCGUUCCCCAACAGGAGUGCGGGUUCGAUUCCCGCUGGCGGCA
rnacentral:tRNA from 1 species